CGAGAGGCCCUAGUUGAUAAAACCACGGCGUAAAGGGUGGUUAAGGAGAGCAAGACGAUUUUUUAAAGCCAAAUGGCCCUUUGGCCGUCAUACGCUUCUAGGUGUCCGAAGCCCAAUCACACGAAAGUAGCUUUAAUAAAGCCCACCUGACCCCACGAAAGCUGAGAAACAAACUGGGAUUAGAUACCCCACUAUG
rnacentral:rRNA from 1 species